AUUAAUCUUUAAAUUGCAAUAAAAUAUUAUAAUUACUCGAAACGGAUAUCUUUUUCUGAUUGGCGCAUGCGUAUGAGGCCGACAUUUCGAAUUUAUUUGCGCCAAUUUGAUUACCACAUAAAGUUAACAGUUGCUCUCAGCAGUGCAAAAUGUCUUACAAAUAAACCCGUGUCGGAAAUUACAUAUUACCGGGUAUAAAGAAUAAACAUGCCUUCGGUGAUUCAAGCUAGUUUGAAAUGAUAAGAGAUGCUGUAGUUACAAGUGACUAGUGUGCAACAGAGACCACAAUAUGGAACUACUGUGCAAGAUACCUAAAAUAUGCCCCUGUUAUAUCUGGGAAUGUGUCUAGCAGAAGGACUAAACUUUUAAAUAAAAUUAAUUGUUCA